GGAGUUAUUACAUAUCGCAGAGCAUUAAAUUUUUCCUUUUAUCGGGUAUUUGACGUUUUAACGGCGAUCGUUGGCAGCGACCAGGACGUUUGGGACUCGGGGCUUCACGCGUGCGACGUCAAUAGAUCACUCGUGUGAACGAAGGGAAUUUUGGAAACCGCAUACCGUUCCGUCCACACUCCUUUUCAGUUUUCACAUGACUGAUACAUAAGCGAAGCAACGCAGUUUCUUCAGCCGUCACAGCCUCCAGACUCCGCCCUUUCUCGCUCCCUCUCUCUCUCUCUGCGUGUUCUAUUAACUGAAAACCCUAGAGCUGACGACAGAGAAAAUGGAGUUCUCUCAAGAUGACUUCGAUCGGCUCCUGAUGUUCAAGCAUGCUUGAAAGUUAGCUGAAGCUACAUACGCUGAGGAUCCUCUCGAUGCUGAUGUUAGUAUCUUCUUCCUUUACUGUCUAUGUACUUUAUUGGAGCCACUCUCUCACAAACAUGCUUGCUCGGUUUUUACCGUGGAGGACUGUUUUAUACUGUUAUAAGAGUAGUUUUGUUUAAAUUGCUGAUAUUGCUUUUGAUUUGUCUGGACUUCUACGACUAUCGUUUGGUGAAUUGUUGCUUAGAAACGGUUAUGUAUGCAGAAUCUAACUAAGUGGGGUGAAGCUUUGAUUGAGCUGUGGCAAUUUCAGACCGUAAAAGAUGUUAAAUGGUAUCUUAUUAGUUAUGAUCAGAAUUAACGAUUGCUAUAGCUUUGCUUUUGUGGUUUUGAGGUUGACGGAGUGGAUAUUAUUUCUAUAGAAGCCAUUUCGAAGUUGGAGGAGGCUUUGGUGAUAAGUCCUGCCAAGGCUGACUCCUUAUGGUACAUUGGAAAUGCUAAUACCUCUUAUGCAAUUCUGACUCCUGACCUUGUUGAGGCAAAAGAGUAUUUCGACAAGGCAUCUGAUUACUUCCAACAAGCUGUAGUAUUUUGGUACAAUGUUUAGGUUCUCACAAGAAUCUUAUGAGUGCAAUUUGGCAAUGCAGGAACCCAGUAACGACCCUUAUCACAAAUCUCUAGAAGUCACUGCAAAGAGCUGCACAUGGAGAUUCAUGAGCGUGGAAUCAGUCAACAAACUAUGGUGGAGGGUCUUCUGCUUCUUCAAAUGCAAAGGGUUCCAAGAAGAAUAAGAAGAGUAGUGAUUUCAAAUAUGACAUUUUUGGAUGGAUAAUCCUUGCAGUUGGAAUUGUUGCAUGGGUGGGAAUGGCGAAAUCCCAUGUUCCUCCUCCACCUCCAAGAUAAGCCAUAAAGUAAAAUAGUAAAUGUGUCAAUGCUUUUGUUGGAACCUUCAGAUGUUUAUGAAACAAUUACAACAGGAAGUCGUGUAGUUGAUUGAGUUAAGCAUGCAGUAAUUCAAUCUGCAUGUUUAUUUUGAAUCUUCUGUUUCUUCAUUGUUAAUUUGGUCAGUAGGAUUAUUCCUGUGCGAAUUUUAGCCAUCAGUAUGUGUAAUCAAUCUAUUAUGCUUUCCUCUUUCCUUCUUUCAUUUGCUCAGGUUAGUGAAGUUCUGAAACUGUGCUUCCCAUUAAACAGGGGGAACUGUUAGUUGGUGCAGGAGAUACCAUUUGAUUUGAUUUCAUUGAAUGUAGACAGGAGAGUAACCUGGCUAUAAUGGCAAAUAUAUGAUGUGCAAUUUGGAUUAUGAUCUUAUUGUCUUUAACUUGGAAUUAAUAAUUUAGGAAUUACUAUUUUAUGUGAUUCAGUU
rnacentral:misc_RNA from 1 species